rnacentral:misc_RNA from 1 species
AUAUACUCCAUCUAUUAUAAACCCAAAACAUAUAUAUGAGUCUCACCUAUUUUAUAUAUAAAUUCCACCAUAUUUAGUGUCUUGAGUUCAUAAUAGAUUAAGUCUAACAAAGAAUUUCUCAAGUGCAUAAACCUACAGGCUACAGGUUUCAUUGUGCCAAUCAACAUUAAACAAACAUUUAAUAGCGCUCAAAGUGCCCUCCCCUGCCAGGCCUGUCAUAUGGACCUGGCCUAUUCCUAUAGCUCCUAUCAUUUCGUGCAGGCCCUCCUCCACUUCCAUACCUAUCACUGCCUCCUCUUCCAACACCAUCCCUAUCGUAGGCUCUGUCUUUGCCAUAACCA